ACAAAGCUGAUCCUCUUCCACCCCAGCUUCACAAAACAACCAGGCUCCCCCACCGCCAUCCACCACCGCAGAUGGUGGCUCUCCUUCAUCUCAUUCCUCACUUUCAUCUUCACCCUCACUUUCCUCACUUCUAAAUCUCUGCUCACCUCCACUCCGCCUUCCCCCGCCGCCGACCCCCUCCCGCCGCCGGUGCUCGACGCUCUCCUCCACUACACCACCGCCAAAACAAACUCAUCCAUGACACUUCAAGAACUCACCGCCGUAGCCAACGUGCUUAAAAGCUGCCCCUCCCCGUGCAACUUCCUCGUUUUCGGACUCACCCACGAGACCCUUUUGUGGAAAUCACUCAACGCCAACGNUGAAAUAAUAAUAUACAUGUGUGAAUAAUAUAUUGAUAAUAAAAUUAUAUUCUACAAAAUAUGUGAAAAAUAAAACAUAUAAAACUAUUAUCAUAUUUUUUUAAAGAAUAUUGAUAUACUAAUUUGUAUGUAUUAUCUUUUUGUUUUUUUAAAUAAAAGUAUAAGAAUAACAUUUUUAUCAUCUUUUUCCCUCUCCUUAUAUUUUACAAGCUCUUAUAAUUUAAUAUCUUUUUUAAAUAUAAUUAAAAUCUAAUAUACAAAUUCAUAAUAUAUUUCAAACUUUCCAUUCUUGUUUUACAGUUUCAAGUUUAAUUUUGUUGUUGAAUUUGUUAUAUUGAUUAAAAAACGGUUUUAACUGAAAUCAAUCCGAACCAAACCGUUUUAAACGGAUUGGUUUGGUUCGGUUUUUUUUACUUAACGGUUUGGUUUUAGAUUGAAGUUUUGAAAAACCGAUAAUUAUGGUUUGAUUCGGUUUGUACCCUCAAAACCGUCCAAACCGACCGAUGCUCACCCCCAGUGACAACUGUGUUUGGAGUCGGCCGGAGUCUCCAAAAAAUCGUUGACAGGACUUAACAACGUUGAAACUAAAAUUUAAAAUUAUACAAAUUUAAAAUCACUAAUAAUCUAAACCAAUGGAAUUUGUACUGCAUUUCAAAAUUCAAAAAACUGCACCGUCACGUGAAAAAGAUAAUGUACAACAUUAAUUAGUUUUACAAUUCGAACCACAUAGCACAUUACACCUCUCAUCAUCACUGUCCCCUGCGACCUUCCCUCUCACACUCUCGCACCAUCUCAUUUACACUUUCAUUCCCAUAUAUACACUCUCUCCCAACAUAUAUAUUCUCACAAUAUUCCACCUCCAAAACACACACACAAUGAAGAGCAGCAGCACAAAGCUGAUCCUCUUCCACCCCAGCUUCACAAAACAACCAGGCUCCCCCACCGCCAUCCACCACCGCAGAUGGUGGCUCUCCUUCAUCUCAUUCCUCACUUUCAUCUUCACCCUCACUUUCCUCACUUCUAAAUCUCUGCUCACCUCCACUCCGCCUUCCCCCGCCGCCGACCCCCUCCCGCCGCCGGUGCUCGACGCUCUCCUCCACUACACCACCGCCAAAACAAACUCAUCCAUGACACUUCAAGAACUCACCGCCGUAGCCAACGUGCUUAAAAGCUGCCCCUCCCCGUGCAACUUCCUC
rnacentral:lncRNA from 1 species